CCCUUAGAGUUUGAUCCUGGCUCAGAUUGAACGCUGGCGGAAUGCUUUACACAUGCAAGUCGAGCGGCAGCGCGGGGCAACCUGGCGGCGAGCGGCGAACGGGUGAGUAAUGCAUCGGAACAUGUCCAUGUCGUGGGGGAUAGCCCGGCGAAAGCCGGAUUAAUACCGCAUACGCCCGAGAGGGGAAAGCCGGGGACCGCAAGGCCUGGCGCGAUUGGGUUGGCCGGUGUCCGAUUAGCUAGUUGGCGGGGUAAGAGCCCACCAAGGCGAUGAUCGGUAGCUGGUCUGAGAGGAUGAUCAGCCACACUGGGACUGAGACACGGCCCAGACUCCUACGGGAGGCAGCAGUGGGGAAUUUUGGACAAUGGGGGAAACCCUGAUCCAGCCAUUCCGCGUGAGUGAAGAAGGCCUUCGGGUUGUAAAGCUCUUUUGUCCGGAACGAAACAGUGCACGUGAAUAUCGUGCGCUACUGACGGUACCGGAAGAAUAAGCACCGGCUAACUACGUGCCAGCAGCCGCGGUAAUACGUAGGGUGCGAGCGUUAAUCGGAAUUACUGGGCGUAAAGCGUGCGCAGGCGGUUUUGUAAGCCAGAUGUGAAAGCCCCGGGCUCAACCUGGGAAUGGCAUUUGGGACUGCAAGGCUUGAGUGCGGCAGAGGAGACUGGAAUUCCUGGUGUAGCAGUGAAAUGCGUAGAUAU
rnacentral:rRNA from 1 species